rnacentral:rRNA from 1 species
UGGCUCAGAACGAACGCUGGCGGCGCGUCUUAAGCAUGCAAGUCGAACGGCAAGAGGUAGCAAUACCUCCUAGAGUGGCGGACUGGUGAGUAACACGUGGGUGACAUACCCUUCAGAUGGGGAUAGCUAUUAGAAAUAGUAGAUAAUACCGAAUACGAGCACAGGGGUUAGAGAUCUGUGAAGGAAAGGAGCUAAGGCUCCGCUGAAGGAAUGGCCUGCGGCCCAUUAGCUAGUUGGUGAGGUAAGAGCCCACCAAGGCGAUGAUGGGUAUCCCGGCCUUAGAGGGUGAACGGACACAUUGGGACUGAGAUACGGCCCAGACUCCUACGGGAGGCAGCAGCUAAGAAUAUUCCGCAAUGGACGAAAGUCUGACGGAGCGACGCCGCGUGGAUGAAGAAGGCCGGAAGGUUGUAAAAUCCUUUUGAAACUGAAGAAUAAGCGUUGUAGGGAAUGACAGCGUGGUGACAGUAGGUUUUGAAUAAGCAACGGCUAAUUACGUGCCAGCCGCGGC